UAGACAUGCUGCUGCAGUUCAUCCAUUAAAAAAAGGUGGAAAGUUUGUGGAUUUACACCAUUUGAACAUGGGUUGGGUGCACGCAUUAACAACGAACCUUUUCCUUAAAGUCUGAGAUGACAAACACGAGAAGGAAUCUCUUCAAAAUAUCCAUUAAUAUCCCCAUAUUCAGAACCAUUUCAGCUUCCCUUUUGACCUUCUUCUCUUUUUGUAUCUCUUUCCCUUGCAGGCCAUCCUAACAAAACCUCCCCUUUCUCCUUCUGCUCUCUAGAGUUAGAUGGAUUCAGAUCGUCAUCGGAAAAUAGACUACCGGUAUAUUGCUGAUAAUUUCAGCUCAUUGGAUCAGGUUAUAUCUGCAUUGAGACACGAAGGUCUUGAAUCAUCAAAUUUAAUUCUUGGUAUCGACUUUACAAAGAGUAAUGAGUGGACAG